CAGUAGCCACGGGAAUACGGAGGGAGCUAGCGUUGUUCGGAAUUACUGGGCGUAAAGCGUGCGCAGGCGGUCUGUCAAGUCAGAUGUGAAAUCCCCGGGCUUAACCUGGGAACUGCAUUUGAAACUGGCAGGCUAGAGUCUUGUAGAGGGGGGUAGAAUUCCAGGUGUAGCGGUGAAAUGCGUAGAGAUCUGGAGGAAUACCGGUGGCGAAGGCGGCCCCCUGGACAAAGACUGACGCUCAGGUGCGAAAGCGUGGGGAGCAAACAGGAUUAGAUACCCGAGUAGUCCCUGUCUCUUAUAC
rnacentral:rRNA from 1 species